AUGUAAACUGCUGUGAAUACAUUCAAAGUAAAAAGCAGUUUGGCCCGAUUGGGCCUUUUACUGUUUUAACUCAAAGUGAACAUAUUUAAAUUAGGAUAACUUAUAAAACUAAGUUUAGUCAGUUUUCUAGAGUGAAGCAGACAGCUGUGUUACAUUGUGCCACAGCACAACUAUUAGUUAUGUACUCCCCAAAUCUGGCUUUUUGUUUAAACUGUAGCUAGAAAUUCAUAUAAUGUCCUUUGCCAGUUUAUAUCAAAUACACAGAAGCAUGUGUUCUUCAUAGAGGAGAGCAAAUCUGAAAUUUAUGGAUUACAUGAAAAAACAACAUAUGGCAGCAAAAUAAUCAUUCUGAAAACACCAUUUGUCCAGUUGUGGCAGCAUCAUGAUGUGGGGAUGCAUUUCAAAAUGGUAGCUGACCAGCGAUGAGCCAUGAAACAGGAGAACCCAGCAGAAACAGAAAGGCUUAAAAAUACUGAGAAUGAUGCUGACAAGAUGCAGGUUUUUGAGCUGGAAAAGAAGGCAAACAUGUAGACUGAGGAAAGACAAGUGAUGAACAAGGAUUUUAUGAAUUGUUUUUCACAGUUUCUUCAAAUGACUCACUUUUGCACCAACAUCAAUUUUUAAAAUUUUAUCUAGAUCUUCAUCUAGAGCUGUGGUCUCAAAAUGCAUUACAGAAUCCUGCAAUUUGUCAAUGUGUCCCUGGGCUUACACAACUGAACUAAAUGGUAAAAUUGCCUCACUAGCAUGCAGUCCAGCUCUAGAGUGCUUUGCUAAUGAGCUAAUAUUGAAGCAGGCAUGUUGAAACAACUAAGACACUGGAAGACACAGGAGGACUGGAGUUUAAGAUACUGAUCUAGAGUCAACAACUGCACUGAUCAACCCAGGUGAAAAAAAAUACUGUAGUAUAUUUCAAACAUACUUACAUUUGCGGAAGUACUUUUUAAGAAUACUAAGUAUUAAGUGUUCUACAUAUUAAUAAACAUGAUUUGAUUAAAAAAAUAAUUGGACAGUAUUUAUUCCUCUUGUUAAUCUACCAUUUCUCUUUCAUACAUUAUAUUCAUUGUUAGCUUUCAGGGCUCUGUGAUGGACUGGUGACCUGUCCACGGUGAACCCCGCCUCUCAUCUGAUGACUGCUGGAGAUGGGCACCACCAGCCCCAAUCACCACCCUGCAAGGAUCAGCAUGUUCAGAUCAUGGAUGGAAAGAUUUUAAGGCAUCCGGUCCCAAUCAUUAUCAGUUCUAAUGAUGCCACAUACAUAGUGAGUCCACAAAUUGUUUCUGUGAAGUGCAGUGGUCCAGUGAAUGGGAAUGUUCUGUCGUUGAUCCUCACUGUUAGAAAGGAGAAAUGUCAGUUUUUCUGCAGUAAUCCAGGAAUACUGUGACAUUGAAUUAAAACAAUACUCUGUC